CGGCUGCCUCAGGAAGCAGAUCUCAUGUAACGUGUGUGAGAAAAACUACAUAUGGGUGAAGACUUACCUGAGAAAAAUGAGCAUGGGAGUCUUCUUUCUCAAGGAAAAACAGAUGGACGCCUUAACUCUCCGAUUCUUUCUGAUUUGUCCGGCCAUCUGUCUUAUUUGACAGAAGAGGAGAGAAAUUACAUAAUUGAGGCACAGAGGUGCUGGGAGAGGAGGAAGAGUGAGCUGUUUUAUGAAGAGAUUUAUUUAUUUUGUGAUUGUUUGCUAAUUUUCUUUUUUCUUUGCAAAAUCUUUUUGAGGAGGGAGGUGUUACGACCCUGUCUUCCCUUUUCUUACCUUUUGGUGGCCUCGCAGUGUGAUGUCACAGUUAAUUAGUUAAUUUAUGGGUGGAGGAUGUAUGUAUUUGAAUUUUUUGUAAAGAACGGCACUUCCUCUGCUGGACCGUUAUUCCCUAGAAGGGUCAUUUUGUUCCAACUGUUUUGUCAUGCCGUCUUAUGUUUUUGUGUUGUACUUUGUUGAGAGAAUUUCAGUUGAUUUCUUAUUUAUUUCA